UAAGUCGGUAGUGAAAGCGUGUGGCUCAACCAUACUCACAUUACCGAAACUGCAAAGCUAGAGGACGAGAGAGGUUACUGGAAUUCUCAGUGUAGGAGUGAAAUCCGUAGAUAUUGGGAGGAACACCGAUGGCGUAGGCAGGUAACUGGCUCGUUCCUGACACUCAGGCACGAAAGCGUGGGGAGCAAACGGGAUUAGAUACCCCGGUAGUCCACGCCGUAAACUAUGGAUGCUA
rnacentral:rRNA from 1 species